AAGUCGUAACAAGGUUUCCGUAGGUGAACCUGCGGAAGGAUCAUUAACACGUAUCCACGUAUAAACCAAAACUAAGAACUGUUCUACCCGUUACAAGCCUAACCGCUUUGUGUUGUUUCUCUGAUUAUAAUGGGUUUCUUUGUGAUUCUUGGCCGAAAGACCUUGAGUUGCACUGAGGCAUAUCGGGUUCAACUGUCAGUCCGUUGAGAUUGUAACAAAGUACCUGGCAUUGUCGGGCUCAUGAUUUCAUUCUUUCAUACUCAACCAUUUUGAGGAGGAAGUUUGAUCCCCAUACCAAUUUCACCCGUUUUUACCUAUUUGACAAUUUCUAUAUUCAUGGAGAGAAAUCUCUUUGAAUCUACUAAGAUUUUAUCUUAACUAAGCACAACUCUUAGCAAUGGAUAUCUUGGUUCUC
rnacentral:misc_RNA from 1 species